rnacentral:rRNA from 1 species
AACGCGAAGACAGUUCCGUGGUCUUAUUAUCCACAGCAUUUUGCAGAGAGGGUUUGGUGCCUUCGGGAACUGUGAGACAGGUGCUCCAUGUCCGUUGUCAGCUCGUGUUGUGAAAUGUUGGGUUAAGUCCCUCAACGAGCGCAACCCUUAUCCUUUAUGCCAGCGGUUAGGCCGGGAACUCAAAGGAGAAGGCCCGUGAUAAACUGGAGGAAGGUGGGGAUGACGUCAAGUCAUCAUGUGGCAGACGACCAGGGUUACACACGUGCUACAAUGGCAUAUACAAAGAGAAGCGACCUCGCGAGAGCAAGCGGACCUCAUAAAGUAUGUCGUAGUCCGGAACGGACUCGGCAACUCGAUUCCACGAAGUCGGAAGGCAUAGUAAUCGUAGAUCAGAA